AUUGAACGCUGGCGGCAGGCCUAACACAUGCAAGUCGAGCGGAUGAAGGGAGCUUGCUCCUGGAUUCAGCGGCGGACGGGUGAGUAAUGCCUAGGAAUCUGCCUGGUAGUGGGGGAUAACGUCCGGAAACGGGCGCUAAUACCGCAUACGUCCUGAGGGAGAAAGUGGGGGAUCUUCGGACCUCACGCUAUCAGAUGAGCCUAGGUCGGAUUAGCUAGUUGGUGGGGUAAAGGCCUACCAAGGCGACGAUCCGUAACUGGUCUGAGAGGAUGAUCAGUCACACUGGAACUGAGACACGGUCCAGACUCCUACGGGAGGCAGCAGUGGGGAAUAUUGGACAAUAGGCGAAAGCCUGAUCCAGCCAUGCCGCGUGUGUGAAGAAGGUCUUCGGAGUGUAAAGCACUUUAAGUUGGGAGGAAGGGCAGUAAGUUAAUACCUUGCUGUUUUGACGUUACCAACAGAAUAAGCACCGGCUAACUUCGUG
rnacentral:rRNA from 1 species